GACGAACGCUGGCGGCGUGCUUAACACAUGCAAGUCGAACGGGAAGGCCCUGCUUUUGUGGGGUGCUCGAGUGGCGAACGGGUGAGUAACACGUGAGUAACCUGCCCUUGACUUUGGGAUAACUUCAGGAAACUGGGGCUAAUACCGGAUAGGAGCUCCUGCUGCAUGGUGGGGGUUGGAAAGUUUCGGCGGUUGGGGAUGGACUCGCGGCUUAUCAGCUUGUUGGUGGGGUAGUGGCUUACCAAGGCUUGGACGGGUAGCCGGCCUGGGGGGGUGACCGGCCACAUGGGGACUGAGAUAGGGCCCAGAGCCCGACGGGAGGAAGAGGGGGGAAUAUUGCACAAUGGGCGGAAGCCUGAUGCAGCAACGCCGCGUGCGGGAUGACGGCCUUCGGGUUGUAAACCGCUUUCGCCUGUGACGAAGCGUGAGUGACGGUAAUGGGUAAAGAAGCACCGGCUAACUACGUG
rnacentral:rRNA from 1 species